UGCCGGUGAAGUAUUUGUGUUUGUGAAUCGGAAAAAACAUAAAUGAACGUAAAAAAAAAACGGCGUUGGUGUUGUGAAAGAAGAAAUGGGGAAAUAAAAGGCUAACUCCAGGUGAAUGAAUAUAUGUGUCGGUGUUCGUGUGUGUGUUUUUGCUCUUGAUGCUGGUAGCUCCUGUGGUUGCUUUGUGCAAAAAUUUUGUAGCUGCUGCUGCAAUGUACGGCUGCUUCAGAUAGGCUCAAAUUGGAUAGGCUCAAAUUGGAAAUCCUCGGAUUGGCUCAAAAAGCUGGGCGCUGCCAAGUGGAAGUUCAAAUGUUACGGCGUUGAAGGACCAGUAUGUUAAACCGGCACAACGCUUGGACAAAGUUGUGGCCGAUUUAAUUUAUUGGAAUGAAAAACAAAGCAAAACGUUACCUUUUAUUGAUACGGGAACACGGUGGCUGGAACACGUCCUCUUGACUUCACUCUCGGAAAACAAGUAAGUGACCGGUUUAAAUUUCUUCUUACUGUUGCCUGUCGAACUGUAUAUUUACCGAAGGGACAUUUUAGCAUAAGUAACAUAGUGGUAAACAGUUCGACAGUUGACAUAAUAAUGAAGUUAUGUUAAGCAUUAGGCUGGGUUGAAAAUGCUG